GGCACUAGCGCGGUGGUCCCACCUGACCCCAUGCCGAACUCAGAAGUGAAACGCCGUAGCGCCGAUGGUAGUGUGGGGUCUCCCCAUGCGAGAGUAGGGAACUGCCAGGC
rnacentral:rRNA from 18 species